GGCUGGUUUGAGGGCAGUGGUGUUUACAGUGAAUUGGACACAACCAGUUACAGAUUUCUUUGUUCCUUCUCCACUCCCACUACUUCACUGGACUAGCCUAAA
rnacentral:Y_RNA from 1 species